UGAGUACUUGUGAAAGGGGUGAGGGUCUAUUGGACCUAAUACAUACCGAUGUAUGUGGACCGUUUAGAUCAACCACGAAGGAUGGGAACCGCUUCUAUGUGACUUUUACCGAUGAUUAUAGUAGAUAUGGGUAUAUCUAUUUAAUCAAGCAAAAGUCAGAAACCUUUGAAAAGUUCAAAGAGUUCAAGAAUGAAGUGGAGAAUCAAUUGGGCAGGAAAAUCAAGAUGCUUCGAUCCGAUCGAGGAGGAGAGUACCUAAGUCUUGAAUUCCACGAUUAUCUCAAGGAGUGUGGAAUAGUUUCGCAAUUGACGCCUCCUAGGACACCGCAGUUGAAUGGUGUGGCAGAAAGGCGUAAUCGAACCUUAUUGGAUAUGGUUCGCUCUAUGAUGAGUCGUGCUUCACUACCUAUCUCUUUUUGGGGGUAUGCCUUAGAGACUGCCGCCCAUAUCCUUAACCGAGUCCCUACUAAGAAGGUUGCCAAAACACCUCACGAGAUGUGGACAGGGAAAGCUCCCUCGUUGGCACAUAUCAAGGUUUGGGGUUGCGAGGCUUUCGUAAGACGAGAUACUCACGACAAGCUUGAACCUCGAAGUGAGCGAUGUAUUUUCAUCGGCUACCCGCAGACAUCCUUUGGAUAUCUCUUCUAUAGACCGAAGGACAAUGUUGUCUUCGUUGCGAGGAGAGGAGUUUUCCGAGAGCGAGAACUCAUAAGCCAAGGAGACAGUGGGAGGCAAAUCGAACUUGAAGAGAUUCAAGAGUCGAUAGAUGAAGGAACCUCUACCGCUGGCACUCAACCCGAGGAGGAAACUCCGGUUGAACCGAUUGACGAAUCCUUACCUCUUAGACGUUCCGAUAGAGUUAGAGUUCAACCCCAGUUUUAUGGUUUUCAUAUUACUACCGAAGGGGACACGUAUAUUAGUGAUGGUACACUAAUAAAUCUUGAUGAACCUAAUAGCUAUAAGGAAGCCAUGGCAGGCCCGGAGUCUGCAAAAUGGAAAGAGGCAAUGGAUAGCGAGAUCCAAUCCAUGUAUGAUAACCAAGUUUGGAAUUUGGUUGAUUAUGUGCCCGGACGUAAGACCGUUGGGUGCAAAUGGAUCUUCAAGAAGAAGACCGACGUGGAUGGAAACGUACACACAUAUAAAGCGCGAUUGGUUGCGAAGGGCUUUACUCAAACUCCCGGAGUUGACUAUGAUGAGACCUUCUCACCAGUUGCGAAGAUUAAAUCUAUUAGAGUGAUGCUAGCAAUUGCCGCAUUUCAUGAUUAUGAGAUUUGGCAAAUGGAUGUCAAGACCGCUUUCCUUAACGGAAAGUUGGCUGAGGAUGUUUACAUGGCUCAGCCAGAGGGGUUUGUGGAUCCGAAGCAUCCGAAUAGAGUGUGUAAGCUUGAGAAGUCCAUUUAUGGACUUAAGCAAGCGUCUCGCAGAUGGAAUCUUUGCUUCGAUGAGAAAGUCAAAGAGUUUGGAUUUGUACGAAGCGAAGACGAAUCUUGUGUAUAUGUCAAAGCCAGUGGGAGUAUAGUAAGCUUCCUCGUUCUAUAUGUCGAUGACAUAUUACUCAUAGGAAACGACAUCCCGACUCUGCAGGAGGUUAAGUCCUGGCUCGGGAAGUGCUUCGCUAUGAAGGACCUCGGAGAGGCUUCUUACAUUUUGGGAAUAAGGAUAGUAAGAGAAAGAAGUAAGAGACUAAUUGGACUUAGUCAGAAUACUUACUUAGAGAAGGUACUAAAACGUUUUAGUAUGGAAAACUCAAAGAAGGGAGAACUACCGAUACAAAGUAAUGCCAAAUUGAGUAAGACUCAAAGUCCGAGUACCGAAGCUGAGAUAGCAGAAAUGAGCCGAGUACCAUACGCUUCCGCAGUUGGCUCAAUCAUGUACGCUAUGACUUGUACUCGCCCUGAUGUAGCCUUCGCUUUGAGCAUGGUUAGCAGAUAUCAAGGGAAUCCUGGCAGAGCACAUUGGAUUGCGGUGAAGAAUAUCCUUAAGUACCUUCGGAGGACGAAGGAAUGGUUCUUAGUCCUCGGAGGGAGUGAUGACUUGAAGGUGCGAGGGUAUAGUGACGCCAGUUUUCAGACCGACAGGGACAACUACCGUUCGCAGUCGGGCUGGGUCUUUACCCUAAAUGGAGGAGCAGUGACAUGGAAGAGUUCCAAGCAGGAAACCGUAGCUGAUUCAACGUGCGAAUCAGAGUACAUUGCAGCGAGCGAAGCGUCGAAGGAGGCAAUAUGGCUAAAGAACUUCAUCGGUGAUCUUGGAGUUGUACCUGCCAUAAAGGAGCCCAUGGAGAUUUUCUGUGAUAACGAAGGAGCGGUUGCCUUGACCAAGGAACCGAGGGAUCAUGGUAGAUCAAGACAUAUCGACAGAAAAUAUCACUUCAUUAGACAUCGUGUAGAAGAAGGACAACUCGUAGUGAAGAGGAUAUCAUCAGAAGAUAACCCAGCAGAUCCGCUUACGAAGGGACUGAGUAGGGUUAAGCACUUGCAGCAUGCUAGGAGUAUUGGGCUGAAGGAUGAUAUUAGCAUAGAUUAGAUAGUAUUAGAAACGUGUAAUAGAUAAAUGUAAUUAACAUUUGAUGAUUAAAUAAAGGAGUUUUAUUUAUGAGUAAUGUUACUAUCUUAUGUUAAUUGUUUAACUAUUGUUUCACUUUGCAUGUUUUGACUUCCAGAAUAAUUGAGUUUAUUAGGAAUAAUCGAAUUGUUCAAAUUGUCCACAAUCGUUCAUAUGUUGGAAGUAGAUAUGAAUGAAGAUUGUCAUGAAUUGGUGUGUAGAUUGUCUAAAUGGUGUUAGACAUAGCAAAGGGUUGCUGCAACGUUCAUGAGUGCUUAUGAACUAGUUUUGAGCAUUGGAACAAACCCGCGCUUGCUGGAAUCACCUUAUGGAAUAUGAUAUAAAAGGGUGAUCGCAAGACGAUAAUAUCAUAUAGUCUUAAAACCUAGAUAUAUGGUUUGUUAUUUGUUAAUUGAUUGUACAUUGAUAAUGCGAAAACGCAUCAGUAACUCGGUGUUAUAAAACGUAUUGUUGUGUAUAGUUGGUUAAUGAAUAAGUAAAUGCAUAUAAGUCGAAGUUUAUCUGUAACUUUUAUCUAAGAAGGUAAAAGCGAUAUCUCGGCCGCUCGAUGAUUUGAUUUGACUUAUGUGCCGGGCCCGGUCAGAACUGAAUUGAUGUGUUCGAUUAAGUUCUAUGUCAAAUAAAUCAGAGAUCGAGAAACCUAAAUGCUUGACUAACCAUUCCAUAGGAUUGUCAGCAUGAUAUCUAACAGAGGACUGUACGAUCCCUUAUCUAAAGGACAAGAUUGAUUAGAUCAGAAUUUGACAGCGUCUUUGAGAGCUACGAUUGCAAACCGAAUUGUACUUGUAUAGUUACUAGACUUAUCCAAGUGGGAGACUGUUGGAAUAGUGUCUAAGGCUGCAACUAUAUUAGGCAAGUAUUUGACCCGGUUGUGCAUGGUCCUUUUGGGUUGCCUUCACCAUAGCAACUUGAUAGGAUGAUUUAUUAAGAGAGAGUAAAUAUUAAAGAAUAAUAUAUAGUUAUUUGAUUAAUAUAAGUCAUAGAAUUAAUUGGAAUUAAUUUGGUGACUUAAAGAGAUUAAUUAAAUAAGAGGGUAUAAACUGUCAAUUGUUUGAUAGUUAAACUUUAGACUGUAAAUCCAUAUAGAUAUAUAUUGGACGAAUUCUAGAAGCUAAAGGAUAGCUAAAAUCGUCCAAGGAGUUAUCUAAGGAAUGGAUUUGGAUAGACUUAAGAGAAGAUUAUCCAAUAGGGUUUAGGUUGUAACCCUUAAGGAGUCUACAAGUAUAAAUAGACCCCAUGGGUACGGGAAAUCGGUAUCUCACCUAAAGAAAGAGAACUCUGGCCGAUUUCCUCCCUUCUCCUCUCUCCUAAAUCAUCUUCCUUGCUAUUGGUGUUUGUAAGCCAUUAGAGGAGUGACAUUUGUGACUCUAGAAGCUCCAAGACUACAAGAUCAACAAGGAAUUCAAAGGUAUGGUUCUAGAUCUGUUUCCAUGUUGUUAUUUAACCUAACUAGUCAUUAGAAGUCUUGGAUUCAAAGCAUGUUUAAUUAGAAAGCCUAGAUCCAAGCAUUAGGGUUUUGCAUGCGCACAUAGGAAAGUUCUUAUGGCUAAAACCCAUCACAUGAAACAUACUCGCUUGGAGGCUUGUACAUUGCGCAUACCUGCUUGUACAUUUAGUGUUCAAACUUAAUCAGCCCCAACUUCAUUUUUCCACUUAAUCCAUUAGGACAAAGCUCCACAACACAGAUCUAACCUUCUUGAGUUGGACUAACACAUAAAGUUGCCAACUAUAUGUCUAUACAUGGCUAAAUGAAGCUCUUAAGCUAAAAAGGGACUUAAUGAUUGACUUAGUGCAUACAUGACACCAUAAAACGCAUAAAGCUUGGACCUUUAUGCCCAAGGAUACCAAAAUGAACUUAGAUUUGAAUGGACAAACCCAUAAGCAAACUAACUCAUCCAUAAACCCAAAAAGAAGAAAAAUAAACUAGCCAAGAAGAGAUCUAAUCACACAUAAGUCAAGAUGAAAACUUGUUACCUCAAAAACCUUCCUCAAAUGGUGAUGAUUCUGGAUCCAAGGUCUUUCCACGUAGCCAAACAACUUCAAGUUUCUCUUCUUUCCUUCCCAAGGGAAAAAUGUGCACCAAAAUCAUUCUAAGAGCUCAAUAACACCAUCAAGAGGCUACAAUAUAGAUUUGUGGUUUUUAGUGGGUGGGGGCUGACUUUGAAAUGAACGAAAGAGGCUAACAUUAUGCUUAUAUAUGGUACAACCCUCAAAAUUAGGGUUUUCUCAUAACCCUCAUACGCUGGGCGUACGAGGUCUUGCGCCCCGCUUCCAUGCUCACAAUAUGCUAAGCGUACCUCUCAUUACGCAUGGCGUAGAACCUCUUGUAUCAGUACUGUGACAUCCCCUAAUUUCUCGGCCAGAAAAGACUGAUUUAAUUGAUGCUUUUUAAAAUAAAAUCAAAGAAAUCUUUUUAAAAGAUGUUGCGGAAUUGGUCCCCAAACAAAAUAUGAUAAAAGUUUAUCAAAACCCUUCAUUAUGAAGGUAUAUGUUUUCCAUAUAUAUAUCAAAACCUCGGGAUGUCAUGUUCCGAUACAGAUUAAAAGCAUAAACAAGACAUUAUAAGCCUUUCAACAGUUAUUUACAACUACUGGCCUAUAAUCCAAAAAUCUCUCGUCGUCCUCCGACUAUGCUCGGGGUCCACUACCUGUAACAUAAAAAGCUGAGUGGGUCAGGCUUGGGAGCCUGGUGAGCAUAUAGGGUUUUCAACCCACAAUAAUAAUAAACUUACUAAGUUCAUCAAUCAACAAUAACCUUGAUUACCCAUUCCCGUUAUCCUCACUUUAUGUCCCUAAACACUUGUGACAAGGGACCUAGCCUAAAGAAUAUCAUCGGGAUGGACACUACUGCUAAGGGGUUUCCUCAGCCAUACAUGUCCUAAAGGCAACCAUGAGGGGGAUGGAGUACAGCGAAUGAACACUCUUAGUUCAUUAACACCUACAGGUUGCGGACCUGCUAAUGUUUCCCACUGGACUGUCUAGAAAGUCCGUGGUCGUCAUCCAAACUCCGCUAGAUGACUGGAUCUCAAAACACAUCGAGGCCUCUCAUCAAUUUUAUUUUAUCACACAUCACAAUCUACCCAUGUUCUACCCAACAUAUUUGUAGAUAAAAAUACUUAUACAGUUUAAAACUUGUAUAAAACAUCAACACAACAAUCACCUCAAAUAAAUAAUUAAUAUAUUUACACAUAGCACGUAUUAUAAGGUAAAUACUUCAUAUCUAUGUGUAAAAUGAAAGUGACUAUACACUCACAUGAUUUGAUGAUAAUCGGGCAGCAAUUCGUUUCCUAAAACGAUCGUUUCUAAUAAAACCGGGAGUUUUAUUGAGAAACCGGGCUUUGUAAAAGUCGGGCUUCGAAACCGAAAAGAUAAAUUUUCCGGGCUUCUCGGGCACUUCGUGGGGUAUUCCGGGCUUUACAAUCGAUACCGGGGCUUUGCGGGAUGUUAAUAUGAAGAAAAUAUGGGUUUAGGGGCUAAAUAUGGCAAAAUUCCAAAAAUACCCGGGAGGUCUCGCACCCUCCUAUUUAUAGGGGGAAGCUUCUGAUCGGACGGUCAGGAGUCUUCUGAUCCGACGGCUGAGAAGGCUCGCAGAGGGGGAGGCUCGCAUGAGGGCUGCGCGUGCGAAGGGCUCUCUGGCGGCUUGUGAUUGGACCGAGGUCUAGGGUCCGAAGUAGGGGGUUCGUGGCGCCUGCGAGGGUUCGGACUCAUGAGUCACUACACACGCGUCGGAUGCGAGGCUCGCCACCGAGGCUUCUACGUGUAGUCAGCGGAUUGGACCGCAGCUCGGACUCGGAAGGACAUGACACGCCUCGCCAGGUGGCUUCGUGACUCAGCAGCCUGGUGACUCAGCAGCUUCGGUGACUCAGCAGCACACGUGUCACAUGCGAGGCGAGGGUGACGUGGCAAAGUGUGACUAUGCGAAAUUUCUCGGUUUUCGCGCCAAAACUUCUAAAAUCCAUAACUUUCGCAUACGAGCUCCGUUUUUGACGUUCUUUAUAUGCACGCGUAGCUAAAAUUACGAUCUACAACUUCCGUUUAGACUUCGUCGGCUAAUUUUGACUUUAAAUUUUAUAUUAUUAUUUUUAACAGACCGGGACAGGAAAUCCGUUAAAAAUUCAUAACUUCUUCAUCCGACGUCCGUUUUCGUCAGACUUUUUACCGUUGUGCUCCUAAUGACGAGACCUUCAAUUCUCGUUUAGGUUGUGUCGGCUAAAAAUCGCUCGAUCUAAAAUUCGAGUUUUUAGCUGUCUACUGCUACGCUGAAACUUCGAAAAAUCAUAACUUCCUCAUACGAAGUCAGAUUUGGGCGUUCUUUUUAUCGAACUUCUCGGUUUAACGAAUACUACAACUUUCGUUUAGAUUACUAAGGCUAAAAAGUAGUUUAUCAAAAACUCACUUUUUACGACAUUCAGCACCGUGCCGGUUUUGUCGCGAAACUUCGACAGGUCAUAACUUCUUCGUUAUAACUCGGAUUUUGGUAUUCUUUAUAUCCCCGAAAUCCUUGUUUCGACCACUACAACUUUAUGUAAAGAUAUCGGGCUUAUCUCACACUUUAAUUUUGACGCUUAUUUUUAUUCUUAAUUAAUUAAGCCCUAAUAAUUAAGCAUAAAACACAUAAUUCACAUAAUAUUCACAUAAUUCCUUUUCAUUUCUUCAAAAUGAGUUACAAAGGUUAACCUAGACUAUCAACUCAAUAUAAAUGCCUAGGCUAGAAACACGAGUGUUACAAUUCUCUCCCCCUUAGGAUGAUUCCGUCCCCGGAAUCAUAUAUCACCAAACAAAUGCGGGUAGCGACUCAUCAUGUCACUCUCCGUUUCCCAAGUGAGUUUUGGUCCAUUCGUAUGUUUCCAGCGCACAAGCACUAAAUCGAUCAUUUGCAUCGUAACUUCAUAGUCUUACGGUCAACGAUUGCCUCAGGUUCUUCGAUCAACCUCUUGUUUUCAUCCAACCUUAACUCAGAAAUCGGAAUUAUGUCGGGCACAUCUCCUGUGAACUUUCUCAAAUAACACACAUGAAAGGUGUUAUGAAUACCCUCUAGUUCUUCCGGUAACUCUAGCUUGUAAGCUUGAUUCCCGAUUCUCUGAAGAACUUUAAAUGGUCCAAUAAACCUUGGACUCAACUUCCCUCUCUUACCAAAUCUUAUAAGUCCCUUCCACGGCGAGACUUUAAGUAAAACCGAAUCUCCAACAUCGAAGGAUAUCGGUUGUCUUUUCUUGUCAGCAUAACUCUUUUGUCGAUCUUGAGCAGCUAACAUCCUUUCCCUUAUCACUUUCAACUUUUCAGCAGUCUCAUGGACUAUUUCAGGUCCCAUAAACUGCUUUUCCCCAGCUUCCAGCCAACAUGAUGGCGUUCGACACUUUUCCCCAUAUAAAGCGUGAUAAGGUGCCAUCUUAAUGCUUGACUGGAAACUGUUAUUAUAGGAGAAUUCUACUAAAUGUAAGUGUUCAUCCCAGUUACCUUGGAAUUCUAGGGUACAUUCUCUCAGCAUGUCCUCCAAUGUUUGUAUCGUUCGCUCGCUCUGACCAUCGGUUUGCGGAUGGUAAGCUGUACUCAAACAUAACUUGGUACCCAAUUCUUCUUCUAGACUCCUCCAAAAUCUCGAGGUAAAACGGCUAUCACGAUCGGACACAAUCGUUAACAGAACACCGUGAAGCCUCACAAUUUCCUUCACGUAAGAAUUCGCAAGUUUAUCCAUAGACCAUUUCUCUUUGGCCGCUAUGAAAUGCGCACUCUUAGUGAAGCGAUCAACGACCACCCAAAUCAUGUCGUGACCGUUCCUUGUUCUGGGCAGUUUAGUCACAAAAUCCAUGGUGAUGUCUUCCCAUUUACCCAUGGGUACGGGUAAAGGUUCUAAACUCCCAUACGGUUUCUGAUGUUGUGCCUUAACCCUAGCACAAGUUACACACUCGGCCACAUACUUAGCAACAUCGAGCUUCAUCGUCGGCCACCAAUAAUAGGGUUUUAGAUCCCUAUACAUUUUCGUACUGCCGGGAUGAAUUGAGUACAUGGUCUUGUGAGCUUCUUCCAUCAGAAGAUCUCUUAUUCCGCCCGUCUUAGGUACCCAAAUUCUAUCUUGAAAUACCUUCAACCCUUGGUNCACCCAAAUUCUAUCUUGGAAUUCCUUCAACCCUUGGUUGUUUGUACCGAACACUAAUGUUUUGCCCAAACGUUCUUCCUUUCGGUCAUUUUUCUCUAAAGCUUCCUCUUGAGCUUUCUUUAUACUUUCCACAAUUGUCGAGACAACUUUAAUUCUCAACGCUCUUGGCCUUUUUCUUUUCAAGGUUUACCUUCCGACUAAGAGCAUCAGUAACCACAUUUGCUUUACCAGGGUGGUAAAGUAUCUCACAGUCGUAGUCCGUGAGUAACUCUAGCCAGCAUCAUUACCUCAUGUUCAAUUCCUUCUGAUUAAAGAGAUAUUGGAGACUCUUAUGAUUAGUGAAAAGUUUACACUUUGUGCCAUAAAGAUAAUGCCUCCAUAUCUUUAAGGCAAAUACUACCGCUGCCAACUCCAGGUCAUGAGUGGGUAGUUCUUUUCAUGUUCCUUCAAUUUCCUCGAUGCAUACACUAUCACUUUAUCCCUUUGGGUCAGAACACAACCUAACCCAACUCCAGAUGCAUCGCUAUAAAAUGCAAAGUCAUCAAAUCUUUCAGGAAACGAAAGAAUCGGUGCUUCACACAAUCUCUUCUUCAACUUCUCAAAGGCUUCCUUAUGCUUCUCGUUCCAAGCAUAAGUAGCUCCUUUGUGGGUCAAAGCUGUUAAUGGAGUAGCAAUCGAAGAAAAGCCUUGGAUAAACCUUCGGUAAUAUCCAGCUAAUCCUAAAAAGCUUCGAAUCUCCGUAGGACUUUUUGGUUGUUCCCACUUCAUUACAGCUUCAAUCUUUGCUGGGUCGACCAUUAUUCCUUCUUGGUUAACCACAUGACCUAAAAAUUGGACUUCUUGAAUCCAAAAUUCACACUUGGAGAACUUUGCAUACAGCUUCUCCUUUUUCAGGACAUCUAGCACUUCACGCCGAUGCUUUUCAUGCUCCUGCUUGCUUUUCUAAUAAAUCAAGAUAUCGUCUAUGAAUACUAUCACAGAUUUAUCUAGGAAUGGUUUACAAACCAUAUUCAUCAAAUCCAUGAAAGUUGCUGGGGCAUUGGUUAGUCCGAACGACAUAACCAAAAAUUCAUAGUGUCCAUAUCUCGUUCUAAAAGCAGUCUUUUCGAUAUCCUGCUCUCUCACCUUUAGUUGAUGGUAUCCCGACCUAAGAUCGAUCUUCGAGAAAUAGCUCGAACCCUGCAACUAGUCAUACAAGUCAUCGAUCCUUGGCAACGGCUACUUGUUCUAUAUCGUCACUUUGUUCAGCUCUCUGUAAUCGAUGCACAUUCUCAUGCUUCCGUCUUUUUUCUUUACAAAUAACACAGGGGCUCCCCAGGGUGAUGAACUAGGUCGAAUGAAACCUUUGUCCAAUAACUCCUGAAGUUGUGUCAUAAGUUCUUUCAUUUCGGUUGGCGCUAAUCGAUAAGGUGCUUUUGCUAUCGGCGUCGUUCCUGGUAACAAGUCGAUACGAAAUUCUACUUGUCGAUCAGGGGGCAAUCCGGGAAGAUCUUCGGGAAAGACUUCCGGAUAAUCACACACCACCGGAAUAUUCUGCACCUCCUUCUUUUCCAUCUUGGCAUCGAUCACGAAUGCUAGAUAUGAUGUACAUCCCUUGGCCAAACACUUUCUGGCUUUCAUUAGGGAAAUGAUUCCAGAGUUUACUCUGCGUUUGUCUCCGUACACCAUAAACGACUCUCUCCCUGGUGGGUUUACUUUUACUAUCUUCUUUCUACAUAGUAUUUCUGCAUCGUUGGCGCUAAGCCAAUCCAUUCCUAAAACUAUGUCGAAUCCAUUUAACUCGAUAGGCAAUAAUUCCUCUUGGAACUUAUUCGCAUCGAAGUCAAUGAGGAUGUUUUUCAUACGAUGGCUAACAGGGAAAAACUUUCCACUAGCAAUCUCAACUAAUAAGGCAUUAACUAGCCUAUCUACAUGCAAAGCUAGCUUUCUACCAAAUUCAUGCGACAUAAAGGAGUAAUUGGCUCCAGAAUCAAACAAAAUUUGUGUAGGCAAUUCGUUUACGAGAAAGGUACCUGAAGCGACAUCGGCUUCUUCUUUCGCAGCUUCGAGGGUCAUCUGAAAGGCUCUCGCCUUCGGCUUUGGUGGUAGAUUGGGUUUUGCUGCGUCCUUCUUCUUCGGGCAGUCCCUCAAAAUAUGCCCUUCUUCAUUGCACCCAAAACAUACGUUCUUAUUGAAGGUGCAUUCAUUGGCAUAAUGCCCUGGCUUUCCACAUUUGUAACAAGUGACUUCCACNUCACCUCCGCACUACAUCUCCCAGAGUGCUUUCUCUUGCACUUCUCACACCAUUUCACUGCACCUCCUCCUCCUACAAACUUCUUGGACUUAGAAAAUUUGCUUUUCUUGUUGGAACCCGAAGUUCCUUCAAAUUUUCUCUUUUCACCAACUUCUGCCCUCUCUAGACCCUUCUCUUUGAUCUGAACCUCGACAUUCUUCACAGCCUAGAUGGCGGCUUUCAAAGUGGUUGCUUGCUUAACCAUCGGACCAAAGUCCGCUGGUAAUUCGAGGGCAAACUUGUUGACCUUAGAGAGGUCAGAUGGAACUAGAUGAGGAACUAGCUUCAUCUUUUCCAUAAAACUAGCAUCGUAUUCAGUAACACUCAUCUUUCCUUUCUUUAAAUUCUGGAACUCAUUGUUGAUUUCCAGAAGAUCCUGAUCAGAGCAGUACUGCAAUUUCAGUUGUACCACAAAUUCUUCCCAAGACAUCUUACUAGCUUCACCCUUGGGCUUCGAAUCAGCUAGUAACUUCCACCAGCUCAACACACCAGACUUGAACAGAGGAAUCGCAAGUGCGGUCUAUUGUUUCUUGCUGCACUCGCAACUUUCAAACAUCUUCUCCAUUUCGGAGAUCCAAUUCAUGACUUCCACCGGUGUCGGACUUCCAGAUAGACACGGCGGUUUAGAUGCCAUGAAAUCUUUGUAUUUUCAUCCGCGUCCAUCAACUCCUCCAUCCUGGUUGUUUUGUCUAACUAUCGGUGGGUUGGCUUGACCAAGAGUCCCACUGUAGUUCCCUCCUACUGAUUGCCCUUCAUUCAAUACGGGCUGUUCAACAGGCAUCGUAGUCUCUUCCCUAUGUUGUUGUAGUAAUCGCCUUGUCUCCUCCAUUUGGCGAUCUAACAUCAUUUGCAUCAUUGCUUGUACCCCAGCCAUCGUCAUUGGCUCAGGUGUAGCUCCUACAACAGGCACUUGCUCAACUACUUGAGGUUAAGGCUGUUGAUCCCUAUUUCCGUUUGCAUUUGCAGCUCCACUAUGAGUUCUGCUCAUUACAAUCUAUAUAACGAAUAAGGCGAAUUUAGGUCUUUAUCCUUGUUAGACAUGUCAAUUCCCUUAUCACUCCGAAAUGUUUACAUGAUAGUUCUAAUCUCGUAAUCAUACGCUUAGAAUCCUACACACAUAAGGUUUCCAGAUCCGGUCGGCAACAGACCAUAGAUCCGAACAAAUAAUGGCACACAUGGCAAACACAUAGCAUUUAGCACAUAAGGGCAUUUUAGGCAUCUUCCCUAAAAUAAACUAGUGCUCGUGUCUAAAAUAUGGUAGACACUCAUCUCACAAUCAUCACUUAGCAUUCUAAGUUCAAGUCUAGAAAUUCUACAAUUUCUUAGUUCGCUUAAACUAAUGCUCUGAUACCAACUGUGACAUCCCCUAAUUUCUCGGCCAGAAAAUACCGAUUUAAUUUAUGCUUUUUAAAAUAAAAUCAAAGAAAUCUUUUUAAAAGAUGUUGCGGAAUUGGUCCCCAAACAAAAUAUGAUAAAAGUUUAUCAAAACCCUUCAUUAAGAAGGUAUAUGUUUUCCAUAUAUAUAUCAAAACCUCGGGAUGUCAUGUUCCGAUACAGAUCAAAAGCAUAAACAAGACAUUAUAAGCCUUUCAACAGUUAUUUACAACUACUGGCCUAUAAUCCAAAAAUCUCUCGUCGUCCUCCGACUAUGCUCGGGGUCCACUACCUGUAACAUAAAAAGCUGAGUGGGUCAGGCUUGGGAGCCUGGUGAGCAUAUAGGGUUUUCAACCCACAAUAAUAAUAAACUUACUAAGUUCAUCAAUCAACAAUAACCCUGAUUACCCGUUCCCGUUAUCCUCACUUUAUGUCCCUAAACACUUGUCACAAGGGACCUAGCCUAAAGAAUAUCAUCGGGAUGGACACUACUGCUAAGGGGUUUCCUCAGCCAUACAUGUCCUAAAGGCAACCAUGAGGGGGAUGGAGUACAGCGAAUGAACACUCUUAGUUCAUUAACACCUACAGGUUGCGGACCUGCUAAUGUUUCCCACUGGACUGUCUAGAAAGUCCGUGGUCGUCAUCCAAACUCCGCUAGAUGACUGGAUCUCAAAACACAUCGAGGCCUCUCAUCAAUUUUAUUUUAUCACACAUCACAAUCUACCCAUGUUCUACCCAACAUAUUUGUAGAUAAAAAUACUUAUACAGUUUAAAACUUGUAUAAAACAUCAACACAACAAUCACCUCAAAUAAAUAAUUAAUAUAUUUACACAUAGCACGUAUUAUAAGGUAAAUACUUCAUAUCUAUGUGUAAAAUGAAAGUGACUAUACACUCACAUGAUUUGAUGAUAAUCGGGCAGCAAUUCGUUUCCUAAAACGAUCGUUUCUAAUAAAACCGGGAGUUUUAUUGAGAAACCGGGCUUUGUAAAAGUCGGGCUUCGAAACCGAAAAGAUAAAUUUUCCGGGCUUCUCGGGCACUUCGUGGGGUAUUCCGGGCUUUACAAUCGAUACCGGGGCUUUGCGGGAUGUUAAUAUGAAGAAAAUAUGGGUUUAGGGGCUAAAUAUGGCAAAAUUCCAAAAAUACCCGGGAGGUCUCGCACCCUCCUAUUUAUAGGGGGAAGCUUCUGAUCGGACGGUCAGGAGUCUUCUGAUCCGACGGCUGAGAAGGCUCGCAGAGGGGGAGGCUCGCAUGAGGGCUGCGCGUGCGAAGGGCUCUCUGGCGGCUUGUGAUUGGACCGAGGUCUAGGGUCCGAAGUAGGGGGUUCGUGGCGCCUGCGAGGGUUCGGACUCAUGAGUCACUACACACGCGUCGGAUGCGAGGCUCGCCACCGAGGCUUCUACGUGUAGUCAGCGGAUUGGACCGCAGCUCGGACUCGGAAGGACAUGACACGCCUCGCCAGGUGGCUUCGUUGACUCAGCAGGUUCCGGAUACGUGGCACAUGCGAAGCGAGGACACGUGGCACUUCCGGGUGAAGCCUAUUUAUGCGAAAUUUCUCGAAUUUUGUGCCAAAAUCUUCUAAAAUUCAUAACUUUCGCAUACGAGCUCCGUUUUUGACGUUCUUUAUAUGCACGCGUAGCUAAAAUUACGAUCUACAACUUCCGUUUAGACUUCGUCGGCUAAUUUUGACUUUAAAUUUUAUAUUAUUAUUUUUAACAGACCGGGACAGGAAAUCCGUUAAAAAUUCAUAACUUCUUCAUCCGACGUCCGUUUUCGUCAGACUUUUUACCGUUGUGCUCCUAAUGACGAGACCUUCGAUUCUCAUUUAGGUUGUGUCGGCUAAAAGUCACUCGAUCUAAAAUUCGAGUUUUUAGCUGUCUACUGCUAAGUUGAAACUUCGAAAAAUCAUAACUUCCUCAUACGAAUUAAGAUUUGGGCGUUCUUUUUCUCAAACUUCUCGGUUUAACGAAUACUACGAAUUUCGUUUAGAUCACUAAGGCUAAAAAGUAGUUUAUCGAAAACCCACUUUUUACGACAUUCAGCACCGUGCCGGUUUUGUCGCGAAACUUCGACAUGUCAUAACUUCUUCGUUAUAACUCGGAUUUUGGUAUUCUUUAUAUCCCCGAAAUCCUUGUUUCGACCACUACAACUUUAUGUAAAGAUAUCGGGCUUAUCUUACACUUUAAUUUUGAUUCUUAUUUUUAUUUUUAAUUAAUUAAGCCCUAAUAAUUAAGCAUAAAACACAUAAUUCCUUUUCAUUUCUUCAAAAUGAGUUACAAAGGUUAACCUAGACUAUCAUCUCAAUAUGCCUAGGCUAGAAACAAGAGUGUUACAAGUACACCCCUCGUACACCUUUGGUAUGCCCCAUGUACACCUUUUGUAUCCCCCGCGUACUAGGGUUUUCCCCAAACAUUAAUUUAGUUCGAAGGCCAAAACUUUCUCGAUAUAACUCUGAUUUUGACCAUCUUUAUAUCCAUGAAAAUAUAUCACAAUGCUAUACACUAUUAUUAACUCAUACUUUCCAUAAGAUACCCUGAACGAACCUACACUUUCCAUAAAAUCCCAAGCUGACAAAUUACCUAAAUGCCCUUUGAAUCUAAAACACAAAUCGAAUACCCGAAAUAUCCAAAUUACAUUAUCGAAAUCCAACUAGGUCCAAUACUUAAUUCCUCAAGGAUCCGAAGCCUACUAAUACCCAAUCCCUGAUCACCAUCCACAUGGGAACAAUUCAAAACAACGCCUUACAACUCCCCCCCCCCCCCCCUUGAAUUAGAUUUCGUCCUCGAAAUCCUUCCAUGCCAUCUCUGAUACGACCUACAAUUUAGUAACACGACCACAACCUUAAGCAUACUCCUGCCUUCCCAAGGCAACUAAAACCGACCCUCGCAUGGCUCUACGAACCUGAAGAAGAACGAGCCUUAAACCCUUGCAGAAAACCACCUCUACAUUUCACAAAACCCGAAACCUCAAAUUGAUAUGACUUCCCGACUGACUGCCCAUACUGAAGCACUAUCAUACCAUUUCCUCAUGAAUACCAGACUAAACAAAAUACUUCCAACCCUGAUUAUCUUGAUGCUUCCAUAGGAACAAAAUUACUAAUCAUGAACAACAGCAGAACACUACACUUAACAGAAGGCUUAGAGAAUCCUUCGAGUAGAAGAUUUCUCCCUGUAACGGUUAGAUUCAUACAAGAGUUGUGCAACCGGGUCCAAUCAACCACUUUGAGAUUAUUUAAUCCCACUGCGAGUGACUUAGCAUAUGCCUCGAAUCACAAGCGACUCUACAUACGAAUCAUAAAUCACUAAAACCAUUCUGAAUCAUCUUGCUGCCAUCUAGGUGCUUUCCAAAAGAAGCCGAGACCUCCCUGGUCCCAACUUGUCCGCCAACUACCCGAUACACUGGACUCUUACCCGAUUUCUGAGCCAAAAGACACACACAUAUUAGCCCCACGCGACUCCCAAGAGAAACCUUAUCCGACGAUAAUAUCCCAAACCACCUCGUCACCAAACCUACUGCUAAAAGAAUGCUACAAGACCGACUGUAGUCUCAUAUCAUACCCAGUCUCCAAUAACCUACCUUCUCCUGAUUCCAAACAUGAUGUGGCCCUCCCACAGAUAGAACCAACCCAAGACAAAACACAAUGGCUCGAUUUGCCAUCAAAACUAAACCCAUUCAUUACCCUUGAACCCUGCGAUUGAUGCUCUUGUUAUAUAGAUACCCUAAUUCUUAUUCCACUGGAACAAAAGUCCUGCACAAAACACACGCGAUACCUGACUCGAGAUCUUACCCAAAACCAAUUUAACACUCCACUCAUUACCCGAGAUCCACGAAUCUGCACUUAGAUUUCACACCACAACCUUUUGAUUCCCGACAACCCCUCACCUGACUGAUAAAUAAAUACUCCCAAACCAUCUUUGAGACUACCAAUCACGCACCUGGUCCAACCACUAGGUUCCCAAGAGUCCAAAAAGCAAGGCUACCCAGCCUAAAAACCCCUCUGCGUCACACACUGACCAUCCACAUGAUCCUGCAACUCAAGAUCCAAUACCUUAACCCAACGGUCUCUCCCAAGUCCAACCUAAAUUUCCAUAAUCACAUAAGCCUCGCCCACGGGCACCUCCCAUUAAGAGCCACUCAGGAUCGGCUCCACCUCGGACCCCAAUGGUCCUCAAACUAGAACAUAGAAUAAUUCCCCAAUCAUCCUGGCCGGUGUGCCCAACACACGAAUUGAUUCUUCUUCCAUGCUUGUGACCAUCUCGAUAAUAGUUUACCUUAAACUGAUGAAUGCUAUGAUCCCAUUAAAGUCUUAGAACACUUCGAACCAACCAUUGUUACCACCCAUGGCCUUACCAAACUCAAAUAAUCACAAUACUGUGCAUCUUGAGCCGAAUCCUGCAACCAAUCAUGAGUUCAGGUCAUGUAUUCAAAUCCCACAACCUACUAUGAAUAAUAAUAGAGAUGCCGACCUGCAGUCAGGAGUUUCCUGAACUCCCACCGACACAACCUAAAUCUGAACAACCACUUAAUUCUCCCCCACUUGGGCUCGACAAAGGUCUCUCACUUGUUAAUCCUUAUAGAUCUAUGACCCAUCUCCCUCAAAUAGUAUGAACCACCCAUACCCUGUGCUAAACAAUACUAGCGUUCCAUUGCUAGCCAACACUAUGAUCACCCAACUUCUGAAACCCUGAAGGAUACUCUUAAAAUCUUAACCAAACUGAUUCCAGAUCGCCUCCCAUGACACUAUUCCUGAGUUCUUAUGCUGGGGAUUAAAACUCUAACCCUUGCCCUGAACCGACGAAUCUUUAUCUUAGUUUCCAUUCUCAAAGAAUUAUUGAAUUCAAACUAAAUUAGACCUCGAAGAAUAUAAAACUCCCCUAACAUUUUCGAUAACCAAAACUACUCAUGCAACUAACACUACCAUCUUGCUACUACCGCUCUCCUCCUAGAAACAACAGUACUUUAACCCAACAAUUCUUCCAUAUGCAACUGCCGCUCUUACCGGAAAAAAUAUUAAAACCGCUGAACCCUGACGAUUACUGGAGAAUGCAAUCGCUGAAUCCCAACCAUAGACAUUCAAUAAAAUACCCCUGAACCGAUCUUGGCCAAAACCAGAAUAAUAAUGAAACACAUUGGAACCCGCUACAUGGGAUACUACACCUUAAUAACCCACUAACGAUUCAUGGCAUGCAAAAGACAUAAAACAAUUCCUGAAGAUAUAACCCAACGAUAACAAAACAAUACACUGAAGACAAUGCUUCCCCAAAUUAAUACAAAAUUCCAAGCAACAUCAAAACUGGUAACAAUCAAAAAGAACACAAAAGAUAACAUGCCCACAAAAGUACCUACCAGAGCAUGACAUCCCCUGACUGCCACUGCAAUUACCGGCUCCUGCCCUAACCCUCACUAAUCUUAGAGAUCCGCAAGGUAGCCAGAGCAGGUGCACUCACUGAUCCUCCCCUCCUCAUCGGACAUACGACCCUCUUGUGGCCCACUUGGUUGCAGAGAAAACAUAACAGGCUUCCCCCUGAGGACAAUCCCUGCUGAAAUGAUCUAUCCUGAUACACUCGCAGCAACCCAUACCUUAGGAACGACAAGCUCCAUCGUGCAGUUUCUCGCACGUGCUUCAAUGACUCCGACCCUGUUGGCCUCUCAAACACCGAUCAGAAGUCUUAGGUCUCUUCCCGGGACCCUCCACCACAUGCACCUGAUCUGGCCCCCUCAUUCCCAGGUGCUCCAAAUCAAUCUCCCACUCACUGAAUGAUAGCGUGCGAGCUCCAACAAUAGCCAUAACCUCAGCAUGGUUUGCACCCAAUCACUCAUCCAAGAUCUCUAAGAUCCCCUCCUUGACUGCAUAAAAAAUCACAGGAGUUUGCUCCAAAAUACUAUGGGUAAUCUCUGACAAGAUGAAUUCCCGAAUCUGCUCGCUAAUCGGCUCAGUAGCUACACUUGAGCCGGAACCAGAACCAGAACCUCCUUCAUGAGUGCUCCUCACCAAACUGAAAUACCACAAGCCAAUGAUCAUAACAUACCCAUGAAUCCUCUUCUACAGGAUCCUUAGAUUCUCCAAGACUCUCCCCAGUUUGAGGAUGGAUCCUGUGCUUUCAGUAGUACGGGCCCGAUACUACCUUCCACACCUAUCCAUACUUUCCUCAAGAAUCAUCCCGAAUCCUCUAAGUCACCUUCCCAAACUGAUGCACCAAAGCUCACUAAACAGCAUGACUACAACCGUCGUGGCACUCGCUAGACUCACCUAGGUUCCCGACCUCACUCUGCCAUCAGUUGCUGAAGAAGUCCCCAUAAUGCCAGUCAUCCACCUCAUGAAUACCAUCAUAUUCACUUAGUAGCUCACUCCCAUCAUCUAAGAGUUCCAUAAAGCUGAAAGAAAGCAGCAUUCGUGCAGUAACACUCCAAUCCAUAGAACUAUCAUAGAACAUUCAACCCACAAACCACCAGUUAUGCUAGAAAUUCCACCCUUACUACUAGUUUUCUUAUGCAUGCAAAUUAUACACAAAACAUGAUCAAAUAGACUGUCGAAUAACAAACUCUACCCGAGAACCACAACCGGACAAGGAACAUGAAAUAACGUCAAAUCAAUUAUUCUAUGGCUAUAAGAUCUUAACCGUAUACAAUUUUUAAAGCAUGCACAUAGCAAUUACUGAUUCCAAUAAAUAUCCCCAUCUCAACAUAUCAUCCAAUACACCAUAUGCAACAAGGUAUCACAUAUGAGGCCAAACUACUACUAACUAAUCAACACUAGCAUGCAAGUCUACUAGCUUAUAUGAUAUACAAACAAAGUCAUUUCUUCUAACAGUCUAUCAUGCAAGAACUGAGCAGAUCCUUAGCCCUAACUAACAUUGUCACACCCCAAAACCAAGAACGGCGGAAACGUUCUGGGGCGGAGGACGUCAUGUAUAAUAUCACAACAAUGUAAAGUAGUAAACCAGCAACAACAUCAUCCAUUGCAUUAAUAAUAUAAUUAUUAUACAAAUGUGUUCUGUCAAAUUUUGAUAAACACUAAAGCAUACAUCAAAAUGAAAGAUAAGUCUUGAACAAGCUCCAUCUUCCUUUCUCCUUGCAUCGGUACCUGUCUAUGAUGACAUGAGGAUACAAGUAAUUUUGAAAGCGAGUAUUAGCUUUGAAGCUGGUGAGAUCAUAAGUAUUUAGUGUCUUAAUUUGUAAGUAAGUAUUUGUAUGUAAGAAUUUGUAGGUAUAUGAAUUGUAAGUAUUGAAAGUGUAUAUGAACUGUAAGUGUUUGAAAAACCCUAGAAAUCCCUAUGAUUCCUACUAGUAUAUGAAGGUGUCUUCUACCAAGACCUAACUGUUCUGAAUGUGUGUCUCUUGUAAGAGUAUGUAUUUUCCCAAGUAUAACUACCAUUAUCCAAAAAUAUAGUUUCUACAUUACCGUGCGUCGUGUGAAUGUUCACGAAGUGAAUGUAAUGGGAAAAUGAAAUAGUACUAUGGUGUAGUGCUAUAAGAACUACUGCCGUACUAAUUACAUUAAACUGGAUUUAUAUUAAGGCAUUAUGUGAUAAAUUGCACCAUACUAAAGACUGGUAACAACGACAACGUAUAGUCGAAAAUAAGGUAUGGCGUUUGGCACCCGCAGACCUGCAGGUCCCGCUGUAGCUAGCAGCAAGGUGUAGGAUUGUCAAUCCAGUAUAGAUCUAUACACAAACUCACGCUCUCCCUCCAAGAGACUCUGGCUACAACUCGGGCCAUGACAUUUAAGUCAUGCUCCGAUUUAAAUCAAAAUAAUUAACGUAUUCUUGUAUAUGUAAUGUAAUGAACUGUUCUAGCUGUAAUGUACGUGCUCUCUACCUAGCAAGUAUAGUAAUGUAAUCAUUCUAGUAUAGUUGUAUAUGUUCUCUUCCUAGUAUAGUUGUAUAUGUAAUGUACUGUAAUGUUCUAGAAAGUAUUGACUCAUGAAUGAACUGACUCAUUGUAUGAUAUCGCGUUCUAGUAAUUGUUCUAGUAUCUUCCUAAACUACCCAUAUGGUAGUUUACUAGUAAUCUAACUGGUACGUAUGGACAUGGAUGUAUACCCUUGCUACCCAAGGGCAUGGGAUGAACUGGAAGGACCUUUUAUGACUAUAUAUGUACACAUGAUAUAUAACUAAUAUUUAAACGACCUUCGGACGAGUACCCGAUAUCCCACCAGACCACAUCUCAAGCGCGAAAAGGAAAUAGGGUGGAUAGCCUUCCUAAGUCUUUUAAACAUUUCUUAUAUAACUAUACAUAUAAAGGCAUGCAAUUUAUAAUAUAAAAGCAUAAAUAAGUUUUGUAAAACAUUUGAACAUAAUUAUUAUCUUAAGAAAAGAUCGACUUGAUGUCAAUCUAUAAAACAGUUUGAAGGCAUAAGUUUGAUAAAACAGUUUAAGUAUAAAGAAACAUUUGUUUGAAACACAAUUGUAAAUAAGUUUGAAAUGUAAUAUACAGAGUAAAAUGUACAGUGUAAUAAGGAGUUUAAAACAUAUAAAAUGUUUAUAAAAAUCAUUUGAAGGAAAUUGUUUGGUAAAACGGCUAAUGAGUAGCCAAAUCAUUUGAAUGCUGUAUAUUAAUCACCUGUGAUUGAUGUAAUAAGUAGCAUAAUUCUACUUACUAAUCAUAUGUGAUUGACAUAAUAAGUAGCAUGAUUCUACUUGUAUCCCCCCCCAUAAAAUAUUUAAAAAUAGUUUAAAACAUUAGUUAAGGGGUAUGAACUCACCUGCAGUAAGUGACUGGACUUGAACGGAUUGUUAUCGUAAGGAAGGAUCGGACAAGUGCUUGGCGUCAAGUGAAGUCUUUAGACACACACAAUGAUCCUAAUUACAUAUGAAGACAUAUGUAUAUAAAUAAUUAGUGAUUAAAACACUAAUUAUACAAGUGUAGACAUUUAAACGCGAGGAAAACACUUUUGGUCAAGUGCUAGGAGGCUAAUGGGUUAAAACAAAGGAGUGCAAUGCCCCUAAUGGGAGUUUAUGGUCAAAUGACCAUAUGUAUUGGACUUUACGACCCAGGGGAGUAAACUCCUAGCCGUAAACUCUCAACAAAGCCCCUAAAUGAAGUCUAACAAUUAUACAACUCAUGUGGUGAAUUGUUUCAAGGCUAAGUCAAGUGUUUGGGUGCCAUAUUAACUCCUUUAAGGAGUUUACGGCCUUGGGACCAUAUUCCCUUGGAGUUUACGGCCAUAAACUCCCUUGGGAGGGUGGUUAUGGUGUUUUCAAGUCUCAAACAUUUCUAGGUAAUGAUGUAUCUUGGGUUCUAGGCAUAAGGAAGGAGUUAGGGUGUCAUUUGACCCCUUUAUAGGUGUUUACGGCCCAAGAGUUUGUCUUGGCCGUAAACUCCUUUUUCCUUGUGAUUCCUUAUGUUUUCUAGGCUUUAAACACUUUAGGGUACUUGUCCUAAUUUAUGUCUAAGCUUUAGGAGGUGUUUCAAAGCAUUUUGGCAUGUUCAAGGGAGUUUACGGCCUAAGCUAUUCUUGGGCCGUGAACUCCCAAAAUUGGGUGAUUCUAGGUUGAUUUCAUGUCCCUAAUGCACCCCUAUACAAGUCCAAGGCAGUAGUACAUCACGGGGGACAAUCUAGGCUUGGUUUCGGGAGUUUACCGCCCAAGAACACCUUGGGGAGUAAACUCCUAAAUCGGAUGAUUUAGCUAUGCAAUCUAUGUUAUGAACACAUUUAAAGCUUUCUAACACUACUAGAAAGAGUUACUCACAAUUUGGGAUAAAACCCGAAGAUCCGUGAGGGAGAAUUUUGACUUUUCUCUAAAUGGAAUUCAACAAAUGAACCAAUUUGGCUCGGAAUUCUAUUUAUAGUCCUGAGAUAUUUUUGGCAGAAAAUAUUUUUAUUCCUGGAACGAACUCUAAUGUCCUAGAGUAUUGGAAAAACAGUGUUGCACACACUUACACUCGAAGUCUGAAUUUUCACUGAACUGUUCUACUUCUAUUGGCUUGAUAUGGUUUGUUCAGAAUGGGAAUUUUGGGUUGUCACAAACAUGCAAUUCACAGAUUCAUAAAUAAAAUUAUAACAGAUAACAUGUAUGGGUAUUUUGGGAAAACUUACUUGACCUAAGUUGAUUGCAUGCACAACACCCUUCUCUUAACUUAGAAAACUCUUUUCUUGAAAAUACUUUUAUUUUGAAAUCUUUACCAAUCCUCAGUUUGAGUUCAGACACACCCGAAAGUAUGUCCGAAUCCCUCAAACCAAAGCUCUGAUACCAACUUGUAACGUCCCGAAAAUCAUGACAUAAAUUUAUUUGUUUUUUAGAUUAAUCAAUCAUUAAUAUAUAUCUUUCCCAUAAAACCAGAGUAACUAAGUUUUAGCAAAACAUCGACAAAUUAGAUUUAUUCACAGAAGGCGGAAAAAUGCGGUGUAUGCUCUGCAAUCAUCCUGAGCCCUUCCAUUUGAAAACCGGAGUACCUGAAAUAUAAACUGAAAACCAUCAACACAAAGCUUAGUGAGUUUCCAAAAAUACCAUACAACAUACAAUCACAUAUUAUCAUGCAACAUACAUAUAGUUGUCAUGGGCUCCCCCAUGGUCUUUAUCUGGUAUGCCAGGGGCUCCCCUUAUGGUCUUUACUUGUAAUGCAAUUUGCUCCAUCCAUGGUCUGAUAUCCAAUUGCCAUGGGCUCCCAUGAGGUCUUCCAUGCAAGUAUCAUAGAGACAUCUAGCAUACCACAUAACACGUAAUGGGCCGACAUUGGUGCCUUGGACCCAUGGAUAUAGUGAGAAGACUCACCUCAGACAGCUGAAUCCCACGUAUACUCUCUGAUUGCAGAUCCGCUAAAAUCCCCACGUUAUCAGAAAAAUAACACCCAAUUAAUAGUUGGGGUCCAAACCUAAUCCAAUAAUCCGUUUAUUGGAUAAAAGACCAUUUUACCUCUCGGUUAGUUUAGUCCAAGACUAAGGGCCUAAACUUCUUAACAUAAAGGCUCACUAACCAAUAAUGAUCUGAAACCCGUUUAUGGCCUAAUUUUCCAAAUUGGGCACAAAACUUUACUUGUCCCAAGUUAUCUCACAACCCACUUCCAAUCUCGCAGUACGCUAAGCAUACCUCUCAUUACGCAUGGUGUAUAACCUCUCACAUUAGUACACCCCGCGUACUAGGGUUUUCCCCAAACCCUAAUUCAUUCCGAAGGCCAUAAGUUUCUCGAUACAACUCGAAUUUCGACCAUCCUUAUAUCCAUGAAAAGGUAUCGAGACGCUCUACACUAUUAUCAACUCAUACACGCCAUAAGAUAUCCCGAACGAACUUCUACCUUCCAUAAAAUCCUGAGCUAAAAAUUUUCCAAAAUGCCGGCCCUUUGAUUCCAAAACACAAACUGAAUACCCGAAAUAUCCAAAUUACAUUAUCCAACUCCAACUGGGUCCAAAACUCAAUUCCUCAAGGAUCCAAAGCCUGUUAAUACCCAAUCCCUAAUCAGGAUCCCUAACAUGGGAACAAUUCGAAACAAGGUGUUACAAACAUUUGAGGUCCUGUUGGAUUAGUGUCUAAGCCCGUAACUAUAUUUGGUAUGUAUUUGACCCGGUUGUGCAUGGUCCUUUUAGGUUGCCUUCUCCAAAGCAAUUUGAUAACGUAAUUUAAGGAGAAAGAGAGAAUAUUAUGGUUUAUUAAUAUAUUAUAAAAAUAAUAUAUAAAAGGAGAAAUCAUAUUUAUUUGAUUAGUAUUAGUCAUAAAUUAAUUUGGAAUUAAUUUGCUGACUAAAAAAAGACUAAUUAAAUAAAGGGGUAUAAAUUGUCAAAUGCAUGAUAGUUGAGUUUUGGGCUGGAGAACCUAAUGGACUAAGGGGGAACGAAAUUAUGAUGGGGAUCCAUCAUAUUUUCAUCCAAGUGCCCUAAUCUAGAAGGUUCUAUGGGCUGCUUGGUGAUUAAGUUGUCCAUUAGGGUUUAGGCUGAAACCCUUGUAGCUAGCAGUAUAAAUAAGACCCCUAGGCUAUGGAAAUCGGCUACCACUUGAUUCUAAGAGAAACCUAGGCUGAUUUCUAGCAUCUCUCACCCUCUCUCAUAUUGCCUUCUUGCUUUUGGAGUUUGUGAACCAUUAGAGGAGUUACAAUUGUGACUCUAAGCUCAAGAUCAAGAAGAAUACAAGGAUUCAAGCUACUUGAAGGAGGUAAACCACUUAGAUCUGUUUUCUUUAUGAUAAUUUCGAAUUAUAUACGAUAGAUCUAGGUUUGUAAGUCUUGGAUUCAAAGCAUGUAUAAUAGAUAAACCUAGAUCCAAGCUUUAGGGUUUGUAUGAGCACAUAGGAUUGUUCUUAUCCAUAAAACCCAUCAGUGGUAUCAGAGCCAUGAUUGGUUUAAGUUGUAUAUGAUGCUUUAACUGUUUACUUGUUGAAAAUCGUUUUUUGUGCAAUAUGUUUGAUGAACUCGACGAGUUGCAAGAACUCGACGAGUUCCAAUGUGGACUCGACGAGUUCCGACGUCUGACAAAAAGAUUUUUGGGAUUUUGUUGUUGUUUUGACUUGGAUUUGAUGCCUAAAUCGUUUUUCGAAGUUAAAAUACGAAUUUUAUCUUAAUUGAAUGAUUAUCCUUGCCAAAACAAUAGAUAAUUUCAAAUCUUUUGAAUAUUGGUUGUUUAUAUGAUAAAUAUGGAUUAUUUAAAAUUAUUUGGUAAUUAUGUAAUGACUAAAAUAAGAUUAGGUCAAAUAUAGAUAAUUAUGAAAUUAAUUGUUUAAUUUGAAUUAUUUGUUAUUUGAUCCCUAGUGUUUUGAAAAGUUCAAAAACUUUCCCUCAAGUUUUGAAAUUUGAAUUUUGUGAUUAAAAGUUUAAUUUUGAAUAAUUUAAAUUUCAAACCCUUAGAAUUUUAGAAGUUUAAAAUUCAACCCUAUGCUAUUAUAUAUUAUUAAAAAGCUUAAUUUAUAUAUANCACCCACCGCUUACUUGACUGGUGGAGGGUCGUUAUCCGAACAGGUAGGAUAGGGCAACCCUCUCCUCAUUAAAAGUAUAAUGUAAGAUUCAAAUUAACUACAUGUUUUACAAAUUCCCAAUCUUAGUUACUUUAGGGUAAAAUGUGAAAAUGAUGCUAAUCCAUGGAAUUACACAUCGUACCCUUGUCAAAUGUUGAUGGAGCGCGUGUGGUUAACCGACACAUCAAUUUGGGGAUGACAUUGGUAGCGAAGGGUGACUCGAUGUUUGUGAUAGAUCAAUGGAGCCUGUGUGGUUUACCGACAUAUUGAUUAGGUGAUAGAGACAUUAUGUGCAUCAUGUCGAUUCGCAUGGUUAUUCACAAUUUGGUUGCGAUCCUUGGUAUCCCAGUCGCAAAUGUGAAAUGCAUAUCGAGAUUUAAACAUGCCCUUGAAAAUUUCAAUGAAUCUCAAAGAUCUAGGAGUUUUCAAUACAUUUAAAACCUAAAUGUCUUUUUCGUUUUUCAUGGUGAGAAUUAGUGAAUCGUCAUUCACUUACCUUCAAAUUAUUUACUUUUAGAGUACGACAUCCCUUUCUAAGUUGUAAAUAAUGUUGUUGGAUCCUAGCCCUAAUUUCUCAUUUGGGUGUUUAAUUAGGGAUUCAUUUCUAAUCAAACUUUGUUCCUUUCUUUUUCAGAUGUCUGCAAACAAUAACAACAACAACAACAACAACAACAACAAUGCUUCUGGGUCAUUCUCGUUGAUAAACCUGUGUUAGAAAGUGACAUUUGAUGGGUCAAACUUCAACGUGUGGAUGAGGUAUAUUCGCAUGAUCACACGCUACGAGGACGAGGAAUAUGUCCGCGAUGAAAAGCUUGAAAAGAUCAUCCCAGAUGUUGCUACUCCUGAAGAGUUGGCCGGCAUUGAGGACCACGAGCAUGAUGCUAUGAAAGUUGACUGCAUCAUGCUGGCCACCAUGAACCUCAGACUCCAAAAGUCCUACAAGGACAUAUAUGUAUUCGUAUGAAAUGCAUCAGGAUUUGUUGGACAGGUAUCACCAGAGCGCGAGGCAAGAACGCUAUAAGAUCAUUACUAACAUGAUCAGCGCUAAGAUCGGGAGUGGAGAAUCCCUAACCUCUGAUUUGUAGAAAAUGCAGAGGUAUGUUGAUCGUCUUCUCAAACUUAAUGUUAAGUUUGAUGAGGAUUUGGCUAUCGACAUAAUCCUCCACUCCUUGCCCUCCUGCUACAACCAGUUUAGGAUGACCUAUCACAUGAACAAGGAGGAGGUCUCCUUGAGAAAGCUCCAAGGACUUUUGAGGACUGCUGAGAGCAACCUCAAAGACAAAUCCGUUGGACCGUCCCCUGCUGUGUCCACUCCUGUGAUGGCAAUAGGUCAAGGAAAGGGAAAAAAGAGGAAGGCUCCAUGUAAGAGCCACCAAAAGGGGAAGCCCCAUGAUGGUUCAUCCUCAAGUGGGACCAAAGAUGGCCAUGGUAAACCCUCUUUCGAUCCAAAAGAAGCAGAGUGCUUCUAUUACCACCAAAAGGGCCACUGGAAGCGAAGCUGCCCUCAAUAUCUGCAAGAUAUAUGAGAUGGGAAGAUUAAGCCCACAUUUGCAGGUAUGUAUUAUAUUAAAUCUAAUAACUCAUCAUUUUCUACUUCAUGGGUUCAUGACAUAGGGUGUGGUUACCACAUUUGUUCUGAUAUGCAGGGCCUAAAAAGAAGUAGGGAGGUGGAACAUGGAAAGAUGAACCUGAUUAUGGGAAACAGAAGAUCGUCGCCUGUGACCAAAGUCGGUGUUUAUUCUUUAGUGUUAAGUAAUGGGUUAGGGAUAGAUUUAAAUAAUUGUUGUUAUUCGCCAUAUAUGGCAAGAAACAUUAUUUCAUUUCAUGGGUUGUUUAGACAAGGUUGCAGAUAUUCUUUUGAUAAUAGUAAUGGUUAUAUUAAUGUUUAUUUGAAUGGUGUCUUUUAUUUCAAUGCAUUACCUUGUAAUGGGAUUUAUGAAUCUGUGAUGGUUGUUGAUAAUUUAGGAAAUAAUGUUUUGAAUAUUGAUUCGUCUACUAGUCUAGACAAAGCAUGCUUGUGACAUUGUCGCCUUGGCCAUGUCAACAAGAAACGCAUAGCCCAACUCCAAAAGGAUGGAGUGUUGGAGUCAUUCGACCUUAGGGACGAUGACACAUGUGAGUCUUGUUUACUUGGGAAGAUGACCAAGUCACCCUUUACUGGCACUUGUGAAAGGGGUGAGGGUUUAUUGGAUCUCAUACACACCGAUGUGUGUGGGCCCUUUAGAUCCACCACAAGGGAUGCUUGCCGCUUCUACGUGACUUUUACAGAUGAUUAUAGCAGAUAUGGAUAUAUCUACUUGAUCAAGCAAAAGUCGGAAACCUUUGAAAAGUUCAAAGAGUUUAAGAAUGAAGUGGAGAAUCAGCUGGGCAGGAAAAUCAAGAUGCUUCGGUCAGACCGAGGAGGAGAGUACCUAAGUCUUGAGUUUCACGACUAUCUAAAAGAAUGUGGAAUCGUUUCGCAAUUGACGCCUCCGAGAACGCCACAAUUGAAUGGUGUGGCUGAGAGACGUAAUCGGACCUUGUUGGACAUGGUUCGUUCUAUGAUGAGUCAGGCUUCAUUACCAAUAGGUUUCUGGGGGUAUGCCUUAGAGACUAUCGCCCAUAUCCUUAACUUAGUUCCCACCAAGAAGGUUACCAAGACUCCUCACGAGACGUGGAUAGGGAAGGCUCCCUCUUAAGGUUUGGGGUUGCGAGGCUUUCAUAAGACGAGAGACUCACGACAAGCUCGAACCUCAUAGUGAGAAGUGUUAUUUCAUCGGCUAUCCGCAGAAGUAUUUUGGCUAUCAUUUCUAUAGACCGAAUGACAAUGCUGUCUUCGUUGCUAGAAGAGGAGUUUUCUGAGAAAGGGAAUUGAUAAGCCAAGAAGAUAGUGGGAGGCAAAUUGAACUUGAAGAGAUUCAAGAUCAAAGCGAUGAAGGAACCUCUGACACUGGCACUCAACUUGAGGAGGAAACUCCUGUUGAACCUAUUGACGAGUCCCUACCUCUUCGACGUUCCACUAGGGCUAGUGUUCCACCCCAGUUUUAUGGUUUUCAUAUUACUACUGAAGGGGAUACAUUUAUUAGUGAUAGUACACUAGUAAAUUUGGAUGAACCUAGCAGCUAUAAGGAAGCCAUGGCAGGCCCGGAGUCUGCGAAAUGGAAAGAGGCUAUGGACAGCGAGAUUCAGUCCAUGUACGACAACCAAGUUUGGAAUUUGGUUGAUAAUGUACCGGGUCGUAAGACAGUCGGGUGCAAGUGGAUCUUCAAGAAGAAGACGGACAUGGAUGGGAAAGUGCAUACUUAUAAAGCGCGAUUGGUUGCGAAGGGUUUUACUCAAACUCCCGGAGUUGAUUAUGAUGAGACCUUCUCGCCAGUUGCGAAGAUAAAGUCUAUUAGGGUAAUGCUUGCGAUAACUGCGUUUCAUGAUUAUGAAAUAUGGAAGAUGAACGUGAAAACCGCUUUCCUUAAUGGAAAGUUGGCUGAGGAUGUUUACAUGAAUCAGCCAGAGGGUUUUGUCGAUGCGAAGCAUCCAAAUAGAGUAUGCAAGCUUGAGAAAUCCAUUUAUGGAUUGAAACAAGCAUCUCACAGAUGGAAUCUUUGUUUUGACUAGAAGGUUAAAGAGUUUGGCUUUAUGCGAAGAGACGAUGAAUAUUGUGUGUAUGUCAAAGCCAGUGGGAGUAUAGUGAGCUUCCUCGUAUUGUAUGUCGACGACAUGCUGCUCAUAGGAAACGAUGUCCCAACCUUGCAGGAGGUCAAGUCCUAGCUUGGGAAAUGUUUCGCUAUGAAGGACCUCAGAGAGGCUGCUUAUAUUCUGGGAAUACGGAUAGUAAGAAACAGAAAAAAGAGACUGAUAGGACUCAGUUAGGAUACCUACUUGGAUAAGAUACUAAAGCGUUUCAGUAUGGAGAAUUCCAAGAAAGGGGAGUUGCCAAUCCAAAGCAAUACCAAGCUGAGUAAGACUCAGAGCCCGAGUACAGAGGCAGAGAUAAUUGAUAUGAGCCGAGUACCUUACGCUUCCGCAGUAGGCUCUAUCAUGUACGCUAUGAAUUGUACUCACCCUGAUGUGGCCUUCGCUUUGAGCAUGGUCAGCAGAUAUCAGGGGAACCCUGGUAGAGCCCAUUGGAAUGCAAUUAAGAAUAUCCUUAAGUUCCUGCGAAGGACCAAGGAAUGGUCUCUAGUCCUCGGUAGGAGUGAUGACUUAAGGGUACGAGGGUAUAGUGACACUUGUUUUCAGACGGAUCGGGAUAGUUACUGAUCGCAGUCAGGCUGGGUCUUUACCCUAAAUGGAGGAGCAGUGACUUGGAAAAGUUCCAAGUAGGAGACCGUAGCUGAUUCAACGUGCGAAUAAGAGUACAUUACGUCGAGCGAAGGGUCAAAGGAGGCUAUAUGGUUGAAGAACUUCAUUGGAGACCUUGGAGUUAUGCCAUCCAUAAAAGAGCCGAUGGAAAUUUUCUGUGAUAAUGAAGGAGCGGUUGCCUUGACCAAGGAAACAAUAGAUCAUGGUAGAUCUCGACAUAUCGACAAAAAAUACCAUUUUAUCAGACAUCGGGUAGAAGAGGGACUCCUCGUAGUGAAUAGGGUAUCAUCAGAAGAAAACCCAGCAGAUCCCCUUACGAAGGGACUGAGUAGGGUCAAACACUUGUAGCACGCUAGGAGCAUUGGGCUGAAGGAUGAUAUAAGUUUGGAUUAUAUAGGAAACGUGUAAUAGAUAGUUUGUACUUGACAUUUGAUGAAUAAAUAAAAUUGUGUUAUUUAUGAGUAAAGCUACUAUCUUGUGUUGGUUAUUUAUCUAUUGUUUCAAUUUUGCAUGUUUUGACUUCCUGAAUGAUAGGAUUAUUCAAACAGUCCACAUUCGGUCAUAUUUUGGAGGUAGAUAUGAAUAAAGAAUGUCAUGAAUUGUUUGUAGAUUGUGUAAAAGGUUUUGGGCAUAGAAAAGGUUUGCUACAAAGUUCAUGAGUGCUUAUGAAUAUGAUUUGAGCAUUGGAAUAAACCCGCUUGCUGGUAUCACUAUUUUAUUAUGAGUGAUCGCAAGAUGAUAAUAUCAUAUAAUCUUUAAACCUAGAGAUAUGGUUAUUGUUUACUAGUUGAUUAUACAUUGAUAAUGUGAAAACGCAUCAGUAACUCGGUUUUAUAAAACGCAUUAUUGUGUGUGACUUAGCUAGUGAAUAGUAAAAGCAUAUAAGUUGAAGUUUAUGUGUUUCUUUUGUUCUAAGAGGACAAAAGCGAUAUCUUGGUCACUCGAUGAUUUGUUUUGACUUAUGUGCUGGGCCCNUAAAACUUAGAGAUAUGGUUGUUGUUUGCUGGUUGGUUGUGCAUUGAUGAUGUGUAAACGCAUCAGUAACUUGAUUUUAUAAAACACAUUAUUGUGUAUGAUUCAAUUAGUAAAUAAUAGAUGCAUAUGCGUCGAAGUUGAUAUGUUCCUUUUGUUCUAUGAGAAUGAAAGUGAUAACUUGGCCACUUGAUGAUUUGAUUUGACUUAUGUGUCGGGCCCGGUCAGAAUGAAGUUGAUGUGUUCAACUAAAUUCUAUGUCAAACAAAUCGGAAAUCAAGGAUCAAAUGCUGGACAAUAAGCAUUGUUAGCAUGAUAUCUAGAACGGAGAAUUAUACAAUCCCUUAUCUAAAGGACAGGUUGAUCAGAGUUAACAACAGAGUAUAAGAGCUACGAUUGCUAAUCGGAUUCUGAAGUCAUAUGUGAGAAAUAGUUACUAGACUUAUCCAAGUGGGAGACUGUUGGAUUAGUGUCUAAGCCCGUAACUAUAUUUGGUAUGUACUUGACCCGAUUAUGCAUGGUCCUUUUGGGUUGCCUUCUCCAAAGCAAUUUGAUAAGGUAAUUUAAGGAGAAAGAGAGAAUAUUAUGGUUUAUUAAUAUAUUAUAAAAAUAAUAUAUUAAAGGAUAAAUCAUAUUUAUUUGAUNUCUAUAGGCUGCUUGGUGAUUAAGCUGUCCAUUAGGGUUUAGGCUAAAACCCUAGCAGCUAGCAGUAUAAAUAAGACCCCUAGGCUAUGGAAAUCGGCUACCACUUGAUUCUAAGAGAACCCUAGGCCGAUUUCUAGCAUCUCUCACCCUCUCUCAUAUUGCCUUCUUGCUUGUGGGGUUUAUGAACCAUUAGAGGAGUUACAAUUGUGACUCUAGGCUCAAGAUCAACAAGAAUACAAGGAUUAAAGCUACUUGAAAGAGGUAAACCACUUAGAUCUGUUUUCUUUAUGAUAAUUUCGAAUUAUAUAUGAUAGAUCUAGGUUUGUAAGUCUUGGAUUCAAAGUAUGUACAAUAGAUAAACCUAGAUCCAAGCUUUAGGGUUUAUAUGAGCACAUAGGAUUGUUCUUAUGCAUAAAACCCAUCUGGUCUUGCUCCACGCUAUAGGCGAAGAUACCAGGGGGGGGGUCCAGCUUAUUUUGUAGGCCUAAGGAGAGUGGUCCAGCCUCAUUCUGUAGGCUUAAGAUGGUGGUCCAACUAUAUGUUGUGGGCUCAGGAGAGUGGUCUAGGUGUACUGUAGGCCUUGAGAUGCGGUCCAACGAGACUGAAGGCUUAUGUGUGCAUGUAUUUUAUGUAUAUUAUAGUGUGUGGUUUUUUUUUGGAGAAACUCAGUAAGCUUUGGAUUACAAUUGUGUAUUUAUAUGUUUCAGGUACUUCAUAGGAUUGGGGAAGGCGAAUGCUUGACUGUACACUUUAUCUUGUAACAGACAUGUUUUGAGAGAUAUUAUGUUUUGAUACUCUAAUUUUAUGAUGUAGUUGUAAAACUAUAUUUUUAUUACUUAUGUUCAAUGGAAAAAUAGUUUAUUCCCCUUUGAAAAUGAAAUAUUUUACCAUGGUUUUUGGGAUGUUACAAUCGUGGUAAUACUCUUACCGCACUGCGGCUCAUAAGGCUAUUUCAUCUACUUACCAUGUCACUGUUUCUCCAUUAUAUGUGAUACUUUUUUCUGUCACUAUAAAGAUUCGUCGCAAAAGAACUUACAAUCGCGUCAUGAUUUAGUUUUCUAUGUGCCGUGGUGGUUCAAAGUACGUUGCUUUCAUUAUUAAUCUUAUGUUAAUCGAUUUUGACACCUCCAGAACCGUGUCGUGGUUUAGUUUUCUACGCGCCGUGAUGGUUCAAAGUACGUUGAUGUCACUAUUCAUUUUAUGUCACUCCAUUUUAACACGUCCAGAAAUGCGUCGCGGUAAAUGCAAUUUUCCAUUCUUAAGGAUUUUUUUCUUCCUGUCUUACGCUUGUCUCAAAUGUCCUACUUCUUAACUCUUUAACCCUGUUUUUUCCUCAUAACUUAUGAAUCUUAUUACACCAAUUUAAUUUCUAAUACUUCUUUUUUACAACAUUAUACUUUUUACUCAAAAUCCAUGAAUUACUCAAAAUGACCAAAAUACCCUUUUUGGCCUAAACACUUUAAUUACUAUUACUUAAUCUUUAUCACAUACACAUGCAUAUUUUACACUACUACAAUAUUAUGAAUCAUAAUUUAGUUAAUACAACAUGAGUGCCACAAGUUAUUCCACUCUUAAAAGAUUUCAUCCCCGAAAUCUAGUUACAACAAGCAUGGGUAUUUAACUUUAAAUCCUUCUUCAGGUUCCCAAGUAGCAUCUUCUCCACUGUAAUGCUACCAUUUGACUUUCACAAGUCCUAUCCUUUUAUUUCGUAGCUUCAUAGCAUUUAGGUCUAAAAUGUCUUCCGAUUGUUCUUGAUACCUCAAUUUUUCAUCCACCUCUAUUUCUGUGACAUCCCCAAUUUCACGACCAGAAAAGACCGAUAUGUUUAUGAUUAUUUAAAAAUCAAAGUAUCCUUUUUGAGGAAUAACAUUUCGGAAUUUUUUCCCAGAAAACAUGAUAAUGAUAUUAUCAAAGCAUUUUUGAAGAAAUGUAUUUUAUUAAUAUUAAAACAUUAGGAUGUCAUCGUAAAUACAUAAACAUAAGCAUAAACAGACCUUACAUUAAUUUUCACUAAUGAUCUAUAUCUCCUUGAAUCCCUUAGUAGAAUUUAUCUUUAAUAUCGCUACCCGUGAUACAAUAAAGUGAGUGGGUCAGGUUGAUAAAGCUAGUGAGUACAUAAGGUUUUCAACCCACAAUAAUAUAGUUAAUUUGUUUCUUCACAUAUUUCAUGUCAAACAAUUAAACUGGUUACCAAUCCCCAUUUUCUUUAUUUAUUCUUCAAUAAAGAUUUAUCCUAAGGGUCAUCUCCUAAAUCGUAUAUACCUUUCAUCGCCUUACAUCACAUUUCCUUAUAUUUUUGUUCCUAAGGACUUUUCCUAAGGAUCAUCGCAUAUAAUGUACUGAUUUGAGGAUUGCUCCCACAAUACUUGUCCGUUAAGGGUCAGAGUAUCAUCGCAUGAAUACGUAGUUACUACAUCGCCUGAACUCAUAAUUCAUCACCUACAGGUUAUGAUCCUGCCGGUGUUUCCACAUGACUUGUUUAGAUUAGUCAGUGGUCGCCAUCUAUACUCUAGUAGAUGACUACAUCGCAAGUCAAGGUUAUGGAAUCUCCUAAUCAUCUCUCAUCUCACAUCGCCUAGUUACAUUACCUAUUUUUUUUUUAUCACCAAUCUAUCAUCACUUAGUUAUCAUCACCUAUCUCUCAUCACCCAUUGCUACCCAAUAAAUAUUUAUAAGUAUAUAAUACUUACAUGAUUAAAUUAGUUAAACGUCAUCUCAUAAUAUCUUAGCUAACACAUAAUAUUCUCGGCAUAUAUAAUAAGCACAGUAGCAUGUAAUUAUCAAGAUACUUCAUAUUUAUGUGUAAGAUAAAAAUAACUAUGCACUCACUUGUUAAAGUAAUGAUUCGUAAUUCGAACAUCUCUUCGAUUCUAGCAAUUGUCUUUUCCAUUGACGUAACCUAGUGUCAUUAUCACUAAGUUUUAGUCUAAUAUUUAUUGCGACUAAUAUUUAGUCUAGAUUCAUCAUUAACUCAAACUCUACUUUCAUGAUCUAUCAAGUAACGAACAACCAGGUAGGAUCAUAUCGGAGGUAGGGUCUAUUUGUUAUAUGAAGUAUAUUGUUUACAAUCCUACUUUAAACUGUUGGAUUAGUGUCUAAGGCUAUAUCUAUAUUUGGUAAGUACUUGACCCGGUUGUGCAUGGUCCUUUUGGGUUGCCUUCACCAUAGCAACUUGACAGGAUGAUUUGUAAAGAGAGAAGAGAUAUUAUUGUUAAUAUAUUAUAAGAGUAAUAUAUUAAAGGAAUAAUAAUAUUAUUUGAUUGAUAUAAGUCAUAUAUUAAUUGAGAAUUAAUUUGGUGACUUAAAGAGGUUAAUUGAAUAAAGGGGCAUAAACUGUCAAAUGUUUGAUAGUUGUGUUUUGGGCUAUGUAUCCUUAUGGAUAUUAGGGUGGAUGGAUUUUAGGGUUAGGAUACCUUAAAAUCGUCCAAGUGUAACAGCCCGGAAUCUCAGGUAUGGUUAAAAUUAUGUUUUUGGGGUGUUUUAAGAGGGGACUCGGCGAGUUGGAGCCUAGACUCGCCGAGUAGGAUCGCAGACCUGGUCGCGGGUUCGCGACUGGACUCGACGAGUCCAGAUAUGGACUCGGCGAGUCUGCGCUGUUUAGCGAAAACCCUAACCGUUCAGGUUUGGGACGUAUAAAAGGGACUUAUUGGCCGUCAUUGUUCAUUUUAGCCUUCUGAGAGGAACCCUAAAUCGAUUGUGUGCAUCUGGAGCAAGGUUAAAGGCCAUUGGUGAUUUUGAAGGAGUUGUUGUGCAAGGAAGAGAAGGGUUUGGCUAAAGGAACAGCAAGGGAGUCACGUUCUGAGGAUUGGGGACACAGAGAGUACAUCAUCCAGGUAAGAAUUCGAGUAUACUCUGCUAUGGUGAUGUGUUUAGAGGAUUAGGGUUUAUGGAACCCUUUUGUGGAUAGAUUGAAUGUUACCCUAGUCCCCCAAACGAUUGUAACCCUGUAUUGGGACCUUUGGAGGUCCAGAAUGUCCCAUGCCUGUGCAUUUCGGGAAUUGAUGAAGGUUUUGGAUUGGAAUCCUUAUGCCUUAGGUCAAUAUGUAAAUUAUAAGUCUUGGGGUGUAUCAUGAGCACCGAAAUGAGGACCUUACGUGAUGGACCAGUCUAGGAAGGCCAGACCUAUGAAUGGUCGGAGCAGUUCUGACCUUAGAAAGCAGUUUGAGCGGUUGCAUGGCAUGGACUCGCCGAGUCCGAUGAACAGACUCGGCGAGUAGCUUGAAGAUUAACUGGAACUCGUCGAGUUGUUCUUCAGACUCGGCGAGUUGAGUCGGGGUGGCCCCGCGAUUCUUCCAGGAGUAACUCGUCGGGUCAAGGAGGAUACUCNAGGAGUAACUUGUCGGGUCAAGGAGGAUACUCGACGAGUAGAAGGGGAAUCUUAGAGGAUUGGAGGACGUCUAGACUCGCCGAGUCGCCAUGGCACUCGCCGAGUCCGGUCGAGUUGACCGUUGACCGUUGACCAGAGUUGACCUAUGUGUGACUUCUUAGGGUCAGUUAACUUAGAAGAUAAAAGUGUUAAUAAGAGAUAUAUGAUGUUAUAGGGAGUUUGUAGCUCGGCGGACCGAGCACGAGUGAUUUCAGGAUUUGCUAGCUUUCAGUAUUCACGAGGUGAGUCUUCUCACUAUACUGUACCCGGAAGGUUUUGACUGUGUGACCGGAAGGACGGAUAUGAUAUGUGAUAUACGUGCUAUAUGUGGUAAGUUAAUUGUUAUGCGUGCUAUGCAAGUUUAUGUGGGCCGGAAGGCGUUGUGUAGUGGACCGGAAGGUCAGGGCCUGGAAAGGCGUAUGUGCGUAAGUUGUAUAUUGGGGAACUCACUAAGCAUUUAUGCUUACAGUUGUUAUGUAUGUGUUUCAGGUACUAACGAGGACCGUGGGAAGGCGUCGACGUGAUCUGUACACACUGAAGGAUGUUUUUAUGAUCUUGGGAAUUCAGACAAUUUGUAUUUGACAUGACACUUCAAUUAUUUAUGCCUUGUUUUGAAUGGGAAUACUUUAUUUUUUAAAAUGAAAAAUUUGUUUGGAAAUUUGCGUUGUUACACCAAGCCUCAUAUCUAGGAGGAUCUUUGGAUUGCUUAGGGCCUAAGUUAUUCAAUUAGGGUUAAGGGUGUAACCCUAGUAUCUCUUAGUAUAAAUAGACCCCUUGGGUGAGGGAAAUCGGCCAUACUCUUGCAAGGAAGAACCCUGGAGCCGAUUUCUCACCUCCUCUCUCUCUCUCUCUCUCUCUCUCUCAAGAUCAUCCUCUUGCUAGUUGGUGUUUGUAAGCCAUUAGAGGAGUGACAAUUGUGACUCUAAGCUCCAAGAACAAGAAGUUUCAAGCAAGCAUCUUAAGGUAUUCUUCUUGAUCUGAUUUCAUAUGAUAUAAUUCAAUUGUUUACACUAGAUCUAGAAUUGUAAGCCUUGGAUACAUUGCAUGUUCAAUUAGAGAAACCUAGAUCCAAUCAUUAGGGUUUGCAUGUGCACAUAGGAAAGUUCUUAUUGCUCAAACCCAUUAGUGGUAUCAGAGCUUUGAUUGAUUUCUAUUGAAUUGAUGCUUUGGUUAAUUGCUUGUUGCUUGAAAAAUUCGAUUUUAUACUUCUGAAUGGUGAACUCAGCGAGUUCCAAUGUGGACUCGGCGAGUAGCUCCAACUCGGCGAGUUCACAGAGGAACUCAGCGAGUUCUAGCUCCAGAAUGAGUCUAUCAGGGGAUUUCUUGCUGUUUUGCUUGAGGAUACUUGCCUUAAUUGUUUUGGGUCAUUAUAAUCCGAAUUUUAUGAUAUAUUGGAGUAUAUUCUUGACCAAACAAAAGAUAAUUACCAUUUUAUUGAAUAAUAAUUUCCUUAUAUGAUAAUAAUUGAUUAUUUGAAUUAAAUUGGUGGAUUGUAUUGCAAGUAAUAUUGAUUAGAUCAAAUUUAAAUAAUCUAAUUAGUUGAUUUGUAUUAUUUGCUAUUUGAUCCUUAUGUUUUGAAAAGUUUAAAACUUGUCCUCAAGUUUUGAAAUUUAAGUUUUGUGAUUAAAAGUUUAAUUUGAGUAAUUUAAAUUUCAAACCCUAGAAUUUUACAAGUUUAAAAUUCAACACUAUACUAAUAUAUUAUUACAAGAUUAAUAUAUAUAUAUAUGAUUAAAAAUGCUAGUCUUACUGUUAGUAGGCCUCAUUCACGAAGCCAGUCUANNNNNNNNNNNNNNNNNNNNNNNNNNNNNNNNNNNNNNNNNNNNNNNAACCAUUAUAUAUAUAUAUAUAUAUAUAUAUAAUUUAUAAAUGCUAGUCUUACCGUUAGUAGGCCUCAUUCACGAAGCCAGUCUAUAAGAUGGGUAUAAGGUUGCUGCCUAUAAAAUGGUGCUUAAUGGGUGUACACUCACACCCACCGCUUGCUUGACUGGUGGAGGGCCGUUAGCCGAACGGGUAGGAUAAGGCAAUCCUCUCCUCGUUAAUAAGUAUGAUGAAUCUAUAUAAAGUAACUAAAUGUAUUUCAUAAAAUUCCCAAUCUUAGUUACUUUAGGAAAACUGAAUUGAUGCAAUACCAUGAAAUUUCACUUUGCACCCUUGUUAAGAUAUUAGUGGAGCGUGUGUGGUUAACCGGCACACUAAUUGGUUCUAAGCAAAGGUGGCAAAGGGUGAUUGAUUGUUUGUCAUAGUUUGAUGGAACGUGUGUGGUUUACCGACAUAUCGAAUAGAUGACUGUAACAAUGAAGGCACCAUGUAGAUUUGCAUGGUUAUUCACACCCGCUUUGUGAUCUUCGGCAUCCUAGUCACAAACUAGAGGGGCAUAUCGAGAUUUAAACAUGCCAUUGAAAAGUUCAAUGAAUCUCAAAGAAAUCUUGGAAUUCUCAAUACAUUUAAAACUUAAGCUUGUGUUUUUCAUGGUGAAGAAUUAGUAAAUCGUCGUUCACUUACCUCCAAAUUGUUUGCAUGUUUGAUCACGGCAUCCCUGUUCUAAUGUGUAAAUAAUGUUGUUGGGUCCUAACCCUAAUUUUUCAUUUUGGGUGUUAAUUAGGGACUUAACUCUAAUCAAACUUUGUUCCUUUAUAUUUGUAGAUGACUGAUGCGAACAACGCUGCUGCUAGCUCAUUCAUGCUAAUGAGCCUUUGUCAAAAAGUGACCUUUGACGGAUCGAACUUUAGCGAAUGGAUAAGAUACAUUCGCACGAUCACGCAUUACGAGAAAAAAGAGUAUGUUCUCGAUGAGAAGCUCGAGAAGAUCAAUCUAGAAAUUGCUACUCCCGAAGAAAUGGUUGUUUUUGAGACCCAUGAGCGUGAUGCAACGAAAGUCCAUUGCAUCAUGCUAGUCAUGAUGAACUUCGAAUUCCAAAAGUCCUAUGAGGACAUGUAUCCUUAUGAGAUGCAUCUAUACUUGAUGGAGAGAUACCACCAAAGCGCGAGGCAAGAGCACUAUGAAAUCAUAACGAAUAUGAUCACUGCUAAAAUGGGAAGUGGAGAGUCUCUAACCGUGCACUUGCAAAAGAUGCAAAGGUAUGUUGAUCGUCUUCGCAAGUUGAAUGUCAACUUUGGGGAAGAUUUGGCUAUCGACAUUGUUCUUCACUCCUUGCCCUCAUGCUACAACCAAUUUAGGAUGACCUACCACAUGAACAAGGAAGAGGUCACCCUAAGCAAACUCCAAGGGCUCCUAAGGACUGCUGAGAGCAACCUCAAGGACAAGUCUGUUGCACUAACUCCCAAUCCACCCACUGCUCCUGUUUUGGCUAUUAGGCAGGGAAGGGGCAAGAAGAGGAAGGCUUCUUCAAAGAACCACCGCAAGGGAAAUUCCCAAGAUGGUUCCUCUUCUAGUGGGACCAAGGUUGAUCCGGCUAAGCCCAACCCAAACCCAAAGGAGGCAGAGUGCCAUUAUUGCCACAAAAUAAGGCAUUGGAAGAGAAGUUGCCCUGAAUAUCUGCAAGCCAUCAAGGAUGGGAAGAUCAAGCCAUCUUUCGCAUGUAUUUACACAAUUAAAUCUAAUGAUUCAUCUCAUGCUAUUUCUUGGGUUCUUGAUACAGGGUGUGGUUACCACAUUUGUUCUGAUUUGCAGGGACUAGGAAGAAAUAGGGAUGUGGAGCUUGGAAGAAUAAAUCUAAUCAUGGGGAACAGAAGAUCGUCGCCUGUUACCAAGAUUGGAGUGUAUUCUUUAGUGCUUAGUAAUGGAUUGAAUUUAGAUUUAAAUAAUUGUUGCUACUCGCCAGAUAUGGCAAGAAACAUCAUUUCUUUUCAUGGUUUAUUUAGACAAGGAUUUAGAUAUUCGUUUAAUAAUGAGAAUGGUUCAAUUUAUGCUUAUCUAAAUGGUGUUUUAUAUUUGGAAGCAAUGCCUUGUAAUGGAAUUUAUGAAAUUGUUAUGGUUGUAGAUAACCUAGGAAAUGAUGUAUUGUGUAUGGAUUCUUCCAAUAGUAUGGAUUGUCGUAUUGGACAUGUCAACAAGAAGCGCAUAGCCAAACUCCAAAAGGAUAGAGUGUUGGAGUCAUUCGACCUUAGGGAAGAUGACACAUGUGAAUCUUGUUUACUUGGAAAGAUGACCAAGUCACCCUUUACUAGCACAUGUGAAAGGGGUGAGGGUUUAUUGGACCUAAUACAUAGCGAUGUAUGUGGACCCUUUAGAUCGACCACAAAGGAUGGGAACCGCUUCUAUGUGACUUUUACCGAUGACUAUAGUAGAUAUGGGUAUAUCUACUUCAUCAAGCAAAAGUCAGAAACGUUUGAAAAGUUCAAAGAGUUCAAGAAUGAAGUAGAGAAUCAAUUGGGCAGGAAAAUCAAGAUGCUUCGAUCCGAUCGAGGAGGAGAGUACCUAAGUCUUGAAUUCCACGACUAUCUAAAAGAGUGUGGAAUAGUUUCACAAUUUACGCCACCUAGGACACCGCAGUUGAAUGGUGUGGCAGAAAGGCGUAAUCGAACCUUGUUAGACAUGGUUCAUUAUAUGAUGAGUCGUGCUUCACUACCUAUCUCUUUCUGGGGGUAUGCCUUAAAGAAUGCCACCCAUAUCCUUAACCGAGUUCCUACAAAGAAGGUUGCCAAAACACCUCACGAGAUGUAGACAGGGAAAGCUCCCUCGUUAGCACAUAUCAAGG
rnacentral:lncRNA from 1 species